CCUACGGGAGGCAGCAGUGGGGAAUCUUGCUCAAUGGGCGAAAGCCUGAAGCAGCAACGCCGCGUGCGGGAUGAAGGCCCUCGGGUUGUAAACCGCUUUCAGCAGGAACGAAUCUGACGGUACCUGCAGAAGAAGGUCCGGCCAACUACGUGCCAGCAGCCGCGGUAACACGUAGGGACCAAGCGUUGUCCGGAUUUAUUGGGCGUAAAGAGCUCGUAGGCGGUUCAGUCAGUCGGGUGUGAAAACUUCGGGCUUAACUCGAAGCAUGCAUCCGAUACUGCUGUGACUUGAGUCCGGUAGGGGAGUGGGGAAUUCCUGGUGUAGCGGUGAAAUGCGCAGAUAUCAGGAGGAACACCGGUGGCGAAGGCGCCACUCUGGGCCGGUACUGACGCUGAGGAGCGAAAGCGUGGGUAGCAAACAGGAUUAGAUACCCUGGUAGUCCACGCUGUAAACGUUGGGCACUAGGUGUGGGCUCUAACCAACGGAGUCCGUGCCGCAGCUAACGCAUUAAGUGCCCGCCUGGGGAGUACGGCCGCAAGGCUAAAACUCAAAGUGUAAUUGACGGUUCGUUGAGACGUUCGACGACGGACGACGACGGAGGGAGGAGG
rnacentral:rRNA from 1 species